rnacentral:rRNA from 1 species
CGUGGACAGGUGGUGCAUGGUUGUCGUCAGCUCGUGUCGUGAGAUGUUGGGUUAAGUCCCGCAACGAGCGCAACCCUCGUCCUAUGUUGCCAGCGGGUCAUGCCGGGACUCAUGGGAGACUGCCGGGGGUCAAACUCGGAGGAAGGUGGGGAUGACGUCAAAUCAUCAUGCCCCUUAUGUCUUGGGCUUCACGCAUGCUACAAUGGCCGGUACAAAGGGCUGCGAUACCGCGAGGUGGAGCGAAUCCCAGAAAGCCGGUCUCAGUUCGGAUUGGGGUCUGCAACUCGACCCCAUGAAGUCGGAGUCGCUAGUAAUCGCAGAUCAGCAACGCUGCGGUGAAUACCGGUUCCCGGGCCUU